GGUCACAUCAAGGGAGAGAGGAAUGGUUGGAGCAAAGCGCUGUGGGCUGUGUGCUUGUAGUAAGGUGAAGAGAUCAGCUCCAGUCCCUCCUUAAAGAGAUUGCCUCCCAUCUUGCCUCCCCCAAAGUGUCCUUUUCCAGAGAGGCUGAACUUUCAAGAAUCAUUUUGUAAGAACUGUUUUACAUGGUUGAGUUGGAUGGACUACCUUGAAGGCUCAGCCCAACGCCUAUGUGCUGAGGUGAAAUGUGUUGCUUGCCACAAUAUGUCUGGUGUCUCCAAGCUAAAAGAACAGAAGAUCUUUAGGGAACUACAGCUUUUGGGAGUGAGGUAAGAAUGUUAUACAUGAAGACAGUGUGCUGCCAUCCAUGCAAUGGGUCCUGGCUCCAACUUUCCACCAAUGCAAACCCAGAGAAACAGAAGUGAUGAUUCAAGUAAAUGGAUUUCUGCCACCCUUAUGGAAGACUUGUAUUGAAUUCCCCACUUCUAACUCAAGCACCAACCCAGACCUGGCUCUUGAGAGCAUUUGAAGAGUAAACCAGAACAGUGGAUGAGUUUUUGUCCCCUCUCCCUUUUCCCUCUGUGUGUGUGUGUGUGUGUGUGUGUAUCUGUAUCUCUGCUUCUCAAAUAAAUAAAUACAUACAUCUUCUUCACCCAAACAGCUAGAGAGGGAAACAAGGAAACUUACCAGGGGGCUUCAAAAAGUCCAUGGAUGAUUUGCAUUAUCUUUCAAUCCCAUUUGUCAGUGAAGUUUCUGAAGUACCUUUCAUAUGAAUCAUUGUUUGAUGUAUUAACAAUAUUAAUUAUUGAGGCUAGUAUUGCAGCACAGGGGUUAAGCUGCCGCUUGAGGUGUCUGCAUCCCAUAUUUGUGUGACUACCUGGUAGUCAGCACAUCAUGGCCCAAGGUUCCUACCACCCAUAUUGGCCAGCUUUGGCCUGGUCCAGCCUUGGCUGUUGUGUUCUUUUGGUAGGUAAAUCACCAGGUGGAAGCUUCCUAUUUCUCUCUCUCUUUCUCUCUCUUUCAUGCUCUAGCUCUCAGUUAUCCUUUCAAAUAAAUAAACAGUUUUUAAAAUGGCCAGGAAACCUGGUACUAUGGUGAUAGAUAGAUACAUAGAUACAUGCAUAGAGAUAGAUAGAUAGAGAUAUGGGUAAAUGGAUUAGAUAUAGAUAUGAA